GAAGCAUUGGCCAAUGGAAGGCUGCUUAACAAGGUAGUUAACCUGUCUUGCAUGUUGAAAGUCCCUUUAAAAGCUUUCAGGUCAGGCUAUCAAAUUCAUUUGUACCUAGGGCUAUGUAAGGCCUGCUGUUUCACAGGAGCAAAACCCUGGGUCAUGAAUUCAGCCAGAGGUGUACUGUAGAAGUGUAACUGGAAGAGCAAAACAAUAUUAUUCCUUAGGCAGAUAGACUCCAGUGUGAGUUUGACAGUCCAAAUGAAAGGCUGAUUAUGUGUUGGGAGGGUUGGUUCAUGGGAGUCAUUACCCCUCAAAACUAUGCAGCAAGACAACAUAAUCUGGACCUUUACAUUAUAUUGAGGAUCACCUGCCCCAGUUCACUCAAUAUAUUAUCUGUGUUGUUCUGCAGAUUUGGUUCACACAGUUGCUGGUUGAAUGUUUUAACCUAGCUAAGUUUGGCCCUCUGCACUUGUGUCCUCUUACAACUUUUACUGCCUGGCCUGGCCUGUGCUGGUCCAUUUUUCUUCCUUACCCUCUCCCAGUGUGGAGCUACUCUUGGCCCAGGGAUGUGUGAACAGAUAGCAACUGCUAGUCUCUUUUUCUUUCUCAAUAUUGUUGACUUCAGUGAUUUCCAGCAGCAUCCAGGCUGAAAAUAGGAUGUUCCUCCAAUUACUUCUCAUUCAAUUGCAUCAGUCAGGUGAGGCACAGGAUCAGAUCCUGUAAGAAUUUAGCAUCUGGGUGAUUUCAGAGAAGGGGUAAAUAUUCACAUUGACAUUUAUUAAUUUUUUAUUUUUUAAUUAAGCUUAUAUUCUGUCCUUCCUCCCAAGGGAGGCCAGGGCAGCAAGGAACAUUGGCAUAUGUAAGACUUUAUUAAUUUUGGGGAGAAAUAUAAAAACAUUACUGUUUCACCCAGGCAUUUGAUGACUGAAAGAUAGUGUUCCUGGUAAGCUUAUAAUAAUCACCUCUGAGCAUAUGCAGUUGUUUUUAAUUGUUUUAAAAUUGUUCUAAAUAUUUUAAAUGUUUUUUAAUUUUAUGUUUAAUUGUAUUAUUUUAUCACUGAUGUGUUUGCUGCCUUGGGCUCCUUUGGGAUGAAGGGCAGGAUAUAUAUGUAAUAAAUAAUAGAAAUAAUAAUAAAAUUAGAUCCUGCAAUGAUAUCCAACUGAACUGUUCAAGAGAAAGGGUGAGACUUCAUAUUAACUUCAACAUCUACUAGCAGCAGGGAUGCCAGAGAUUUUAUUUUUUAUUUAAAGGACAUAGGAGCAGAAAUUGCUUAUCCAUCCUGUCUGGAAUGGAAAUCAGUAGUUACUGUUGCUGCUGCUUUCAGUCCACAAAUGAUACAUAACUGAUUAUAUUUUCCCCAAUUUUCAUUGUGUUUACUUCACAAUGAAAUAUGUGUUGUGUUGAAUAAUGUAAUAAUGUAAUUUACACAAUUAAUUAUGUGAUUGAGUUUCUUUAUUUCAUCACAGUGGACAGCAGCAUGAUAAUGUAGUUUUUGGCAGAGGACAAACUGCAGCAGAGUGAAAACAGUGCUGUGUGUGUUGUUUGACCCAAUGAAAAAUGUAACUUUAUAUUUCAGAAGUGGGGGACUUGUGACUCUCCAAACUCUCACCAAUCCCAGCUAAUGGUCAGAGUAGUUGUAGCCCUGCAAGAGCCGCGGGACUACUGUUUCCCCACACUUGUUAGAUUCCUUGUGCCAGAUUCUUGCCGAGGACUUAUACUGUUUGAGACAAGCGCGUGAAAUUGCUUUAAAAUGGAAGAUGGAUUUGUGUUUAUGCCUGUUUAAGCUUCCUUUUUUUAUAUUCCAAGCAUAAUGAAGAAGAACAACAAAUAUGACUCCACAUACCUAUGGAGAACCGCGAGCUGUAGAAGUAGGUUUAGUGUUAUUAAAAGUCUGCAGCUAUUGUGUAUGACGAUGACAUAUCACUGUCAUUUUUCAAUUGCUGGCAUCUCAAACUAGAAGAAGAUUAGAUUACAAACUCGAUGACCCUUGGUUAGGAAAAUGAGAUUAGAAAGAAGUUCUGCCAACUCACUUAUGGAGUAAAUUAUGUUAUAUGCCUCGUGCAAUCAGAAAACCCAAGAAGGGCUCUGCCUGUGCCGAUUCAAGUUUAUUCCUCUCUUGGCAUAGCUCAGUGAGGGCAUAAAUAAACUUUACAUGCGGUUAACUAAGCACCACUUCCCAUUUUCUGUAAAGGAAAAGACAGAUUUAGGAGGAGGUGCUUAACUUUUCCCAUGUCCAUCACUUCGCACUAUUUCACACCUCUGUGUGUGUGUGUUUGGGGUAAGCAGACAGCAGCUUGGGUAUUUUGGGGCCGAGUAGUGUUGGAUGUGGAAAGCAAGAUACAUUGGCACAUACGAAUCUGCUUUACCAUUCAGAUUGCAUUGACCCAUCUAGCUCAGUUUUGUCUGCAGUACUGGUAACGGCUCCCCAGAUUUUCAGGCAGGAUUCUUUCUACUGCCCUGUCUGGUGGUGCCAGGGAUUGAACUUUCUGCAUGCUGAGCAUGUGCGCUACAACUGAACUGUGUUCCUUCUACCUACAUAAAUGAUGUCCAGUCCUUUCGGUUCUGAAUAGAAAAAAGAACUGGUUUAAAUAUGAUGAUAGGAAACUGACAUAGGUCCAUCUGGCUCAGUAUUAAGUCAUACUUUAGACAGCCCUGCCUAGAGAGGUGGGGGAUUGAACCUGGGAUAUUCUGCAUGCAAAGCAGGUGCUUCACCAGUGAGCCAGUCCUUUCCAGUGUAUCCACUCCCUAAUGGUGUUUCUGUUUCUAAAUUUUCUCCCAUUGAAGCUACUUUCUUUUCUUUUUCAAAGUAUUAAGGAGGUUUAAUCUACAUUGUGAUUGAUUGUCCACAUUUACACACCACCUUUCCAUGAAGGUCCCCCAGGUAAUUUACAUUUAAAAGCAAAGCAAAGCAAAUAAAUGGUAUACCAUGUAGGGCAAAGGAGUCAUUUCAGGCAAAGGUGGCUGGUGCCCACUGGGGCUGGUAGGGUGGAAGGCAGAGGGGCCAAAAGAAGGUGGAACCAGAGCCAAUGACAGGCAGACCCAACUAAUUUUAGCUCUGCCCACACCUCCUUCCAGCUCAGUUCAGGAAGAGUAAAACUGAACUGAGAAGAAAAAACUGGUAGGCAGCUAAGUCAGUAUCAAGUAAGAAGGGAGGCAUGUGAAGGCUGGUUGAGGUUGGUGGGGCAGAGUCCCAUUUACCUAACAGAUCUAAUGGGGAACAGCAGCAGCAUUCUGAGCAAUGUUAGGAGGUUUUCUUCCACAAUGUCUACAUUUUAGUAUUGCUAUGUUGGAAAUUUAAAUGGCAUCUCACUCUCUUCUGCACCCUGAUGGAAUGGCUGCCUAUAUUCAAACAUAUACAGACAAAUACACAUAUACAUAUAUAUUCAUUAUUUAAAUAAAUAUGUUAUUUACUGUACAAAUUCUUAGAUUUGCAUCAAACAUUAUAUAGCUUUAUUUAAGAGCUAUUAAAGGUGCCUUUCAAAAUAUAAAUAUCUUUAUGGUGCAAAAAUAUAACAGCGACAACGAUGGCGAUGACUGCAUUUCAAAACAAACAUCUGGAUUCGCAGUUAAAAUGCUAAAGCAGAAAAAAGUAGUAUAAUCCUUUCAUUUCAAUCCAGCUGCCCUAUCAGAAGAUCUAAAACCCUAAGCCACAACCCGGAUAUCUACUUGUCUUGUGUCUAGGACAGCAUAUUUCAGCUUCCCCUUCUCUUCAGCUCCUUCAUCAGCAGGAGCAAGAAGUUGAAAGCACAUUAAACAAACUGUUUGUGUCAUUGCUGCUUGACCCUUCCAUGCGCCAGGGCCUCACCGAGUCCAGGAGUGGGCGUAGCUGACUGUAGACUUGAAGCAUUUGUCCACCAGCUUGAGGUCUCCAGGGUCAGCAUUCAGAGGUGGAAGAGGCCACAACAAGAAAUUGCUGCCAAGGCGGAAGCUGAGCCCUGAAGAAUGGCAGUGCUCACAUGUACAGGAUUUUUAAAAAGCAUCCACC